UAGUCUCUCUCGAAAUCUUGUUCACCAUAUCCCUCCGUCGUCGAUAAGCUAUUUACAAUCACUGAUUUUUGUGCCCCAUCGCGUUCAUCGAAAACGAAAGAGACCGUAUUCAAAUCGCAUGCUAUAGCUGUUAUAUAUUCCAGAUAUGGCUCAUUUGCGAUGAACUGAAACUAUUGUUCGAGAUGGUGAAGGAGGUUCGUCAAAGCAGUACCUUAAGAACAUACACAGCGCCAACGAAAAUAAUCCCCAGGUUAGCCCAUUUGUUCCCGUAUUGGAGAAGGAAAAUGCAUAUGCUAUUUGUUUUGACACACGUUGGGAAGUAAUGUUCAUACUAGACAGUCCCAAGUCCGUGAAGGAGUGAUAUAAUGAAGGGCUAUGAUCCAAUAUGCGGUGUUUUGUGCACUAUGUUGUCGGAGUUCUUAAAUCACAACAAACAAGAGGUGAAGUCUGCAGCCGCGUCGAAAUCAGCGCUACAGAUUCUCGAUCAUAUGUGUGCAAAUGGAUGCAAUAAAGUUGAUAACUCGCUUUUCUUGAUGCGCCAUAUGGAGACUUUCAAAUGAGACGUAUCAAGGAACUGGCAGUGUGGGCUACUUGAUGCAAAUGAUCGCGAACUAUGCAACAUGAGGAUUAGGUACUGUGAAGCAAUAGUGUCAUCAGAUGUGAAUCAAAUUAAGGAGGACGUUAUGAAAACGGCAUCUAAAAGUUAUGGGGUUGCACUUGCGCAGGAUGACACCAAAUUCGACCUUUUGCUAUUUGGUUCAGUUUAGUUUGAUUGAACUUCGUUUAUAUUCAUGGUAUCAUUCGUAACAGUGUUAUUUGCUCGAAAUUUAAUAAUCUUUUGAACUUUUUAGAAU